UGGGUAGGGGAGCGUUCUGUAAGCCUGUGAAGGUGGCCUGUGAGGGUUGCUGGAGGUAUCAGAAGUGCGAAUGCUGACAUAAGUAACGAUAAAGCGGGUGAAAAGCCCGCUCGCCGGAAGACCAAGGGUUCCUGUCCAACGUUAAUCGGGGCAGGGUGAGUCGACCCCUAAGGCGAGGCCGAAAGGCGUAGUCGAUGGGAAACGGGUUAAUAUUCCCGUACUUGGUGUUACUGCGAAGGGGGGACGGAGAAGGCUAUGUUGGCCGGGCGACGGUUGUCCCGGUUUAAGCGUGUAGGUGUGUGUUCCAGGUAAAUCCGGUUCACUUUAACACUGAGGCGUGAUGACGAGGCACUACGGUGCUGAAGCAACAAAUGCCCUGCUUCCAGGAAAAGCCUCUAAGCAUCAGGUAACAUCAAAUCGUACCCCAAACCGACACAGGUGGUCAGGUAGAGAAUACCAAGGCGCUUGAGAGAACUCGGGUGAAGGAACUAGGCAAAAUGGUGCCGUAACUUCGGGAGAAGGCACGCUGACAUGUAGGUGAAGUGAUUUACUCAUGGAGCUGAAGUCAGUCGAAGAUACCAGCUGGCUGCAACUGUUUAUUAAAAACACAGCACUGUGCAAACACGAAAGUGGACGUAUACGGUGUGACGCCUGCCCGGUGCCGGAAGGUUAAUUGAUGGGGUCAGCGCAAGCGAAGCUCCUGAUCGAAGCCCCGGUAAACGGCGGCCGUAACUAUAACGGUCCUAAGGUAGCGAAAUUCCUUGUCGGGUAAGUUCCGACCUGCACGAAUGGCGUAAUGAUGGCCAGGCUGUCUCCACCCGAGACUCAGUGAAAUUGAACUCGCUGUGAAGAUGCAGUGUACCCGCGGCAAGACGGAAAGACCCCGUGAACCUUUACUAUAGCUUGACACUGAACAUUGAGCCUUGAUGUGUAGGAUAGGUGGGAGGCUUUGAAGUGUGGACGCCAGUCUGCAUGGAGCCGGCCUUGAAAUACCACCCUUUAAUGUUUGAUGUUCUAACGUGGACCCGUAAUCCGGGUUGCGGACAGUGUCUGGUGGGUAGUUUGACUGGGGCGGUCUCCUCCUAAAGAGUAACGGAGGAGCACGAAGGUUGGCUAAUCCUGGUCGGACAUCAGGAGGUUAGUGCAAUGGCAUAAGCCAGCUUGACUGCGAGCGUGACGGCGCGAGCAGGUGCGAAAGCAGGUCAUAGUGAUCCGGUGGUUCUGAAUGGAAGGGCCAUCGCUCAACGGAUAAAAGGUACUCCGGGGAUAACAGGCUGAUACCGCCCAAGAGUUCAUAUCGACGGCGGUGUUUGGCACCUCGAUGUCGGCUCAUCACAUCCUGGGGCUGAAGUAGGUCCCAAGGGUAUGGCUGUUCGCCAUUUAAAGUGGUACGCGAGCUGGGUUUAGAACGUCGUGAGACAGUUCGGUCCCUAUCUGCCGUGGGCGCUGGAGAACUGAGGGGGGCUGCUCCUAGUACGAGAGGACCGGAGUGGACGCAUCACUGGUGUUCGGGUUGUCAUGCCAAUGGCACUGCCCGGUAGCUAAAUGCGGAAGAGAUAAGUGCUGAAAGCAUCUAAGCACGAAACUUGCCCCGAGAUGAGUUCU
rnacentral:rRNA from 1 species